rnacentral:rRNA from 1 species
CUUUACUACAACUUUGCAGUGGUAUUAGAGAUAGCAUGUGUAGCAUAGGUGGGACUCGAUGAAGCUUGGGCGCUAGCCUGAGUGGAGAGGUCAGUGAAAUACCACCCUUGUAAUCUUUGAUAUCUAACUGAACCCGGUGAAUCACGGGUCAGGACCCUGCAUGGCGGGUAGUUUGACUGGGGCGGUCGCCUCCCAAAGCAUAACGGAGGCGCGCGAUGGUCAGCUCAAUCUGGUCGGAAAUCAGAUGCUGAGUGCAAUGGCACAAGCUGGCCUGACUGCAAGACGGACAUGUCAAGCAGAGACGAAAGUCGGUCAUAGUGAUCCGGUGGUUCUUCGUGGAAGGGCCAUCGCUCAACGGAUAAAAGGUA